ACAUCGCCGACAUUAUUCCCAACAUGCAGGUCUAAAAAUAUGUGUAUUCAGCAGAGCAAAACAAUGACAAACAGCAAAGUUGAAGGGAAUGGGAGGGAUCUUGGGAUCUAGGUGGGAUUAUGGGGUCAGGGAAACGGAAAGCACUAUAACAGGGGGGGAGGGGGAAUCAACGAACAGAGAAGCUCAGGGGGGGGUGCACUCACAAGACACUAAAACCUAACAGCCUGCAUCAAAGCACCCAGGGAAUGUUUUUCCAUUUUAAAAUUGAAUUAACCUACAUUUACUUAAUGAAAAAUGACAUUUGUAUUCAUUGUUCUUCGUAUUGUUUGUGAAUCCUAUAACGACAAAUUAAUACUGAACAUUUCUAUUAAUUCGUCCAUUAGUUAAUUGAUCGUUUCAAGGUGGAGAAUGAUGAAUCGGCCAUUCUUGCGCUAUAAUAAGAAACACUGUGUUAUUCUGUUUAAACACUUACGCAUCUCCUCACUUGUGCCAUCUGUCAUCCUUGCAUGCAAAUGGUUAGAGAAUCAAGAGGCUUCAACUUAAGUAUAUUGUUAAAUAUGGAUGGCGAAGGACUCAAUCGACCGCGUCACGGCUGAUUUGCGCUGGAACUCGGAUGGAAUGAUGACAAGCCUGUUCGGAGUUACUCCAGAUACUGUGUCAAAUAGCGAUGUUUCUGUCGACCUAGAUUUUCGCGCAUUUUGAUAACGUGCAUUGGAAAACUGUUAAUGGAAACACUCGGCUAUCGCGAAAAAGUUUUUACAUUCACUGGAGGUGGUGUUCGUGGCAAGUCGAAAAAGACACCAUGAGCAAAACUGUGACGGAAAGGGAAUUUGCUAAUUGGUGGAAACGCAGAACGUUCUUCUGGAGCUGCUAACUCGUGGAAAGCCAGCUCUAUGUUGAAGUAGGCGACACGGAUCUUAAUCUUGGAGGACGAUAAAUGGAAAGAAUUUUUCCCAUGUCACCCAUUAAUGGAAACACACCCUAUUUGCAAAUUCACUUUAUCAGCUUAUAGGAUAUUUGCUUAUAAUUUGCACAAAAACUGGAGUGAAAACACAGCUAGUGGCUAGUGUGGCUGCGCUUCUGCUGUAUGCGAAUCAGGCAGAGGGGGCUUUAUUUGCAGAAAUGCAUGUUUUUCAGCAUCCUGUUCUGUUUUUAAUUUGUUUCUGCUGCAGGACCACAGCCAGCUGAGAGGUGGCCUGUCACUGUUGCUACCAAACCUUCCCCGGAUUUUGAUUUUAUAGGCUAAUUUAUUACUUCACAUAGAACUCAAGGUGCGGGAGGCUACCCAUUAUACGAAGAGACACCUGACUCGCAGGCCCCCGGAGGCUUCCGUGAUAGAGCUUGACGUGGGAUGACUCAGUGAGUGCACACGCUUCAUCCUCAGGACCGCGCGGGACUCGCAGCAGCGGAAUUUCGGUACAUGCCAUGACUCCUCUAUCCAUAACAAUGGCAACCAAACCUCGGCCUAGCGGUCCAGUGCCAAAAGGUCCGACUUUGAGACACGAUGAAUGUUAUGCAGCGUAAAGAGUGAAACACCCAGCCGUUCAUAUUGAACAAGAGAUGAGUGGGCUUUCAGGAUGCCACCCCUUCCCCCCACAUAAAGGUCCAUUGGGAUGAGAACUUCAGCCAUCUUCUGAUCCAUGCCGGAUCGGAUCCUGGCUUCUCCAUGUCCAGCGGCUCUGGCACCGCUGUAUGGGGGUCAGGUGAGUGAGUGACCGCGGUGUGGAGGGAUGCCCGGGUGACAGUGAAGAGUUCACCGAAAUGUGCCGACCCUCACCAUCAUUAGUGAGUGAGCAGCAGUGGGACCAGGUGGGCUAAUAUGGCAGUGCCUGGAUUUUCUGUUGGUUUCCCUAGUAAUCUUUCUAUUUUGGAUUUUAAAAACCUUUCCAGUCUGUUCUGUCAUCAUUUUUCUCAUUACAAUUAUAUAAGCCAGAGCUGCUGGGAUUCACUUUCACCAGAGUACAGUCCUGCCUUAACGAGCACCCUCAGAACGAACCGUCCUAUGCUGAUUCCCAUUAACGAGCAAACCGAGUACAGAGGCUCUCACAGUCCUCCUGGGACCCAUCGAUAGGCCAGGCCUUCACCAAAAGCAGCUCCCCUCAUCUCUUCAGAUGAGUCAGGGGUGGACGCCUCCUUCAGACUGCCGGGGAAUGAAUACUUCCCCAAACAACCAUUUCAAGUUAUUUUAAGAGCCUCUCGUGGAAACAUGGAAAACAAAGAUUAUAUCUCUUUGUUAUAGCAGUGACUAUAAAAGGACGAGAAAAAGGAUUGGAGUCCGUCGUGAGCGAAUGUGCAUUUACCGCUGUACACCCCAUUUGUAGGGUAACAAAAGUGUGACAAACAUGCUAUUUUAAGAUCUCGACUGCCAUGCGCUCGGUCCCUAAAUCGGAAUGACACAUUGCAGAGUGUUCCUUUUGUUGGCGUGACAACAGGUUUUGUUGUGCUUGUUGGGCUCUCACCUGGCACACUAAGCAUGUUUCAGUAUGUCACAGUGACAAAUCCCAGUACAAAGCGUAGGCCCCAGUGGAUGGUGGGUGCAAGUGAGAUAAUUACCAUAGCUAGCCAACACAUAGAGCACAGGCAUUGAAAUUAACAAGUUAACUGUUUAUGGAAUUUAAGAGACUGGAUUGGGGCUGAUGAUUGUUAUAUGUCUGUUCACAUAUCAUUAUAUAAGUCAGUUAAUUUAAUUAAUUAAACAUUUUUUACAGUGACUUUGUUACUUAAAUUGACAAAAAAACACCGUUGCCGUGGCAUUGAUUCCAUUUGCUUGUGACAUCAUAAAGGGACCCCCCUCUCGUAGUGGGAUGCUCUCUUGCUUUUGGACAUGUGUUCUUUCCUAACAGCCAUGUGGUGAAUUUGAUGUUUGUCAGCAAGCCCGCCCUUCCAUUCCCAGAUCUGUGAGAUGUCCGCGGCAGGCCUCCUCUGUAACAAUCCCAUCUACAGACGCUGGAACUUGUUAAGGCCAGAGUUACCCUUCGCUGUGCCGUAGAAGGGGGUCAUAUACCGUAUAUUCUUUUUGAUACAUAUACUGUAAGAUAUCCUCAAAGUGAAAAACCUCAUAUUGACAGACUGUGAAUCAAAAGGUUGUGAAAACAAUUGGUUUAAGGUGUUAUGAUUUUGUUAUGGAAGUCAAGGGCCCCCUACUGGAGAAAGAUUGAGAUUACAGUAGUCCUACAGUUCCAGUCUAGAACAAGGAGCUUCUAAAAUAAAUCAGGCUAGCUGUCUUAUAUCACUUCAUAUUUAGCUUUUAGGUUUAAGCCUAAAUCUUAAUACAAGCUUUGAGCGUCCUCAUCCAUGACGGGGCAGCGCGGGUUGAACACAUGACCUUCUGUAUUCCAUUGAGCCUGCGUCUCCGGGUUUGGAAUGGGCUCCCGAUCCCAGCUUGGGUCAGCUGAACACCGCUGUCCGUGAAAUCGGGGCAGCUGAACCGGGCCGUGAUGCAGGUCAUGUGCCCCCAGUCUUCACGCACUGCGCCGCACGGAUUUCACUCCAGGGGCUGGAGUGUAACGAUCUGUAACCAGAAAAACACUGCGACGCGGGGGGGCUCCGUCUGGCGGUAACGACCUUACCGGAAAGCGCCGAGCCCAGGGACCCUGCAGACCCCGAGCCACCUCCAGGACACUCUGCAAGAGGAUCAUGGGAGAUUGGGUAGGUGGUGACACUGGGCGCGGAUUAAUGCAUGGGCUCCGAGGAUAUAGCUUAGGGCCCCGGUAAACAUCAGAGCCCCGACUCUGUGUCAGGAAAAACGGAACAGGUACUUUAAUCGGCAACACCUGAGUGUCCAUGCUGAUGUUAGCCUUGGGCCCCCAGAUAAGUCAGUCCAGUCCUGGGGGAGAACAUGAAUGGCAGGGCAGUAAGGCGGUUCUGCUGUGUCAUUAACAUUAUUGGAUAAAGAUAUUUAUACAAGGCAGUAACAGUGAGGGAGGCUGUUCAUAAGGAAGCUGCUCUUCCUUUCACCACGUGGUGCUAAAAGCAUAAUGUAUCCACAUCAAGCAUGAUACCUUCUAAAACGUUCAUGACUGAUGCUGGAAUAGCUAUGGUGGGACAGCAUGGUGACAGUCGUCAUGCCCAGAGGGUGUGGUUACAUCGGAGGGGCGGGGCCCCGAUCUUCAGUGUGAAUCAGCAGCCGGCUCAGGGGAUCUCCCCAGUCAGGUGACACUCAUUAGCAUCAGUGUUACUGGGCCCAGAGUCUGUCUGGAGCCCUUUCCACUUAAUAACAUUACAAACACAGCGACAUUCAGCCAUAUGCCAUUCAUCUCAUUACAAAUACAUUGAAAUAUUGCCCAGGUCUGUUUCUGCAGAAUUUGCAUGUUCUCUAUAAUUUAUCACUGCACAUGACCCAGAGCCAUUAAACCAAAUCGCCCAGAGCUAUUAAACCAAAUGGAAAAUUCAUGCGUCACACAGGUCACACAUGUGAUGCUCAGUGAUGCACCAAGUAACAAGUGUUCACUCAUUCCAAACACACACACUCACACACGACUUUCUCUUGGAAACAUGCACUUGUUACUGACCUGAACUGCACACACACACACAAGUUUGUAAUUAUAUCUUUGUGGGGACUCUCCAUUCAUUUCUAUGGGGGAAACACUAAUCCCAACAGGACAACCUUCAGCCCUGCCCAGCCCUAACACUAACCAUAAGUAACCAAACUACAUAUGAGACUUGAUUGCAUUCACAGAUCUUUGUGAAGACCUAAAAAUGGUCUCCACAAUGUCAAAA